CCUACGUGUGGCUGCAGUGGGGAAUAUUGGACAAUGGGCGAAAGCCUGAUCCAGCCAUGCCGCGUGUGUGAAGAAGGCCUUCGGGUUGUAAAGCACUUUCAGUGGGGAAGAAAGCCUUGGGGCUAAUACCCUCGAGGAAGGACAUCACCCACAGAAGAAGCACCGGCUAACUCCGUGCCAGCAGCCGCGGUAAUACGGAGGGUGCGAGCGUUAAUCGGAAUUACUGGGCGUAAAGCGCGCGUAGGCGGUCUGAUAAGCCGGUUGUGAAAGCCCCGGGCUCAACCUGGGAACGGCAUCCGGAACUGUCAGGAUAGAGUGCAGGAGAGGAAGGUAGAAUUCCCGGUGUAGCGGUGAAAUGCGUAGAGAUCGGGAGGAAUACCAGUGGCGAAGGCGGCCUUCUGGACUGACACUGACGCUGAGGUGCGAAAGCGUGGGUAGCAAACAGGAUUAGAUACCCGGGUAGUC
rnacentral:rRNA from 1 species